rnacentral:lncRNA from 1 species
UUACCGUCUGCUCUUGUUCCCAUAUUUGCGUCGGUACUCUAUCUGAAUCAUUACCUUAAUAUAGUUAAGACCAUAUUAUAUAGUAAGAAACCCAUUUGAGAAUAGGGGUGAGAAAUUAGUAAAGGCGCAUAAUUCUUUCGCACAACAUUAUUCAACAGUUCAAUAUUGGUUUUAACUGGAACCAAGCUUGAUGAUGAACAAAAUGCUUGACGAAGCACCAGCAAAUCAUUCAGCCAAAGAUGUGUUUCAAAGCAUUCCAGGGAUGAAAUGGACCUGCAAGGUGUGUAAUUACAGCUUCUAGCCAUCUCGGUUUUCCGAAUGCCUCCAAAUCCAAGAUGCACACCGUUUUCAACUGUGCAUGCUGUCCAGCUUUUGCAUGAACCAUUGGAUCAACAGUCAAUAGAUGGUCUAAACAAAUUCGGAGUGUUGUCUCU